rnacentral:rRNA from 1 species
GGUCAAGCUAAUAAGAGCAUAGGGUGAAUGCCUAGGCACCAGGAGCCGAAGAAGGACGUGACAAGCUGCGAAAAGCUGCGGAGAGGCGCAAAUAGCCUUUGACCCGCAGAUAUCCGAAUGGGGGAACCCACCUGAGGUGAAUUCUCAGGUAUCGUUGCAUGAAUACAUAGUGUAACGAAGGGAGACGCAGGGAACUGAAACAUCUAAGUACCUGCAGGAAAAGAAAACAAUAGUGAUUCCGUAAGUAGUGGCGAGCGAAAGCGGAAGAGCCCAAACCGGGAUACAGCAAUGUAGACCGGGGUUGAGGACCAGCAUAAUGAUUCCAAGGUUAUAGCAGAAUGAGCGGAUGGAAAGCCGCGGCCAUAGAGGGUAAAAGUCCCGUAAGCGAAAUAACCGAAGACAGGCCGGUAUCCAGAGUACCACGAGACACGUGAAACCUUGUGGGAAACCGGGAGGACCACCUCCCAAGGCUAAAUACUACCUGGUGACCGAUAGUGAAGCAGUACCGUGAGGGAAAGGUGAAAAGAACCCCGGGAGGGGAGUGAAAGAGAACCUGAAACCCUAUGUUUACAAGCAGUUGGAGAGCGUUAAGGCUCGACAGCGUACUUUUUGUAGAACGGUC